UUUACAGUAAUUGUCCCAGCCUGUAUCUAAGGCCAACGUAACAAUUAUCAUGGUUAAAGAACUUCAAGUAUCAAGCCAGGACUGAACUAGGUAAUUACAUGAACAUCACAUUGAGGUAGAAAUUAAUGCGACAAUAAGGAACCACUGGCUAGGCGUCCAAACAGGGUUACACCAUGAAAGAUGCCUACUUUUACCUCAGGGAGAGGAGAUGGAUUUCAGGUAAAAGAAAACUUGUGGGAGAAGGCAUUUCAGGGAUGAGACAGGUGAG
rnacentral:lncRNA from 1 species